UAAGCCUGUAAACUUCCUCUCGCCAUAAUCUUUCUCUCUCCUCUAAGUUCCUCCCUCUGUGAAACCCUAAAACUUGAAGACUUCAAUGGCAUACAUUCACGGAGGCGGCUAAUGUCUCGGCUAUUGCACCAUGACUCCAGCACGACCCUGCAAAUACGGAAGGGUUUCGACGGGUGGUCAUCUUGGGGGAUCUGGUUGUUCGAUUUGCGAGUGGAGGUUGACGAAGCGUUUAUGUCGCCUCAGAUUUCCCUCUCUCUCUCCUCUCCCAUGUCAACGGCAUGUAGUUCUGCCAUGGAAAUUCCGCGACCUUCUACAUGGAAAUCGAAGCCUUCCAAACACAAAAGUGGUGAAUUACUGCAAUUAAGUUUAUGAUCUGAUUAAGCUGCAAUGGUACGCUAUGAAAUAACAUGAAAUUUCCUUGGCCUUCAAUUCCUGCAGUUACUAUACCGAUUGGAUAUGAUGAAGCAGGGUUGCCUAUCGGUCUACAAUUUAUCGGAAAACCUUAGGCUGAAGCAACAUUAAUUCACAUGGCUUCUGCAGUCCAGGUCGAUCGGACUUGGGAUAAUCAUGCACUGAGAGAACCAGCUUUAGUUGCUCACUUAAAGUAAUCCAGGAUUUUUGGCUACGUUAUUGAGAAACCCAAUUUCUUCACUUUUACUUGGUUGGCAAAAUUAGAAUCACAUACAUCUUGGAGCAUUCUGCAACUACUGGUUCUCAAAAGGGACAUUCCAUGGGAGACAUACAUGAUGACCAAGUUGAUCACUGGGACAACCCUUCAACUUUUAAGGCGUUAUGACAAGAAACCUGAGAACUAGAGAGCUUCCUUGCUGGAUGAUGUAAUUUUUCAUCUUUGCUUCUUUCUCGAAGUAUAGGCUGUUGAAGAAUUUUAGCUACAAUCUUUUUGUCAAAUGCAUCCAGUGACACAAAAUCUCUUUUAAUUUUGUUGAGAUCUGUCAUGACCUACCCCGUUCCUAACCAUAUAAUUUCUAUUGAAUGUUUGUAUGAUUAUGUUCAA